GACAGAGGGUGCAAACGUUGUUCGGAAUUACUGGGCGUAAAGCGUGUGUAGGCGGUCCUCUAAGUCGGGUGUGAAAUCCCCAGGCUUAACCUGGGAACUGCAUUCGAGACUGCAUUGCUAGAGUAUGGGAGAGGGAAGUGGAAUUUCAGGUGUAGCGGUGAAAUGCGUAGAUAUCUGAAGGAACAUCAGUGGCGAAAAGCGACUUCCUGGACCAAUACUGACGCUCAUGUGCGAAAGCGUGGGGAGCAAACAGG
rnacentral:rRNA from 1 species